UACGCUGAUGACACUGUAUUUGAUGCUGGAGAAUCCGUUCGGUGAAGGCACAAUGAUUUCUCAAAAGACUACAACGGUAUCUGAGU
rnacentral:ncRNA from 15 species